CUGGAAUGGUUCAUGGCCGAAAUCUAUAUGGCCUUUGGAUUGGACUGCGGCCGAUCAGGCUGUUGGUGAGGUAAUGGCCCACCAAACCUGUUACCGGUACGGGCUCUGAGAGGAGGAGCCCGGAGAUGGGCACUGAGACAAGGGCCCAGGCCCUAUGGGGCGCAGCAGGCGCGAAACCUCUGCAAUAGGCGAAAGCUUGACAGGGUUACUCUGAGUGAUUUCCGUUAAGGAGAUCUUUUGACACCUCUAAAAAGGGUGCAGAAUAAGGGGUGGGCAAGUCUGGUGUCAGCCGCCGCGGUAAUACCAGCACCCCGAGUGGUCGGGACGAUUAUUGGGCCUAAAGCAUCCGUAGCCGGUUCUGCAAGUCCCCCGUUAAAUCCAGCUGCUCAACAGAUGGGCCGCGGAGGAUACUACAGAGCUAGGAGGCAGGAGAGGCAAGCGGUACUCAGUGGGUAGGGGUAAAAUCCGUUGAUCCAUUGAAGACCACCAGUGGCGAAGGCGGCUUGCCAGAAUGCGCUCGACGGUGAGGGAUGAAAGCUGGGGGAGCAAACCGGAUUAGAUACCCGGGUAGUCCCAGCUGUAAACGAUGCAGACUCGGUGAUGGGCUAGCCUUGUGCCAGCCCAGUGCCGCAGGGAAGCCGUUAAGUCUGCCGCCUGGGGAGUACGGUCGCAAGACUGAAACUUAAAGGAGUUGGCGGGGGAGCACCACAAGGGGUGAAGCCUGCGGUUCAAUUGGACUCAACGCCGGA
rnacentral:rRNA from 1 species